UACGUAGGGUGCGAGCGUUAUUCGGAAUUACUGGGCGUAAAGUGUGCGUAGGCGGCCGAGCAAGUCGAGUGUGAAAGCCCCGGGCUUAACUUGGGAAUUGCGCUCGAAACUACUUGGCUGGAGUGUGGCAGAGGAAGGUGGAAUUCCAGGUGUAGCGGUGAAAUGCGUAGAGAUCUGGAGGAACACCGAUGGCGAAGGCAGCCUUCUGGGCCAACACUGACGCUCAUGCACGAAAGCGUGGGGAGCGAACAGG
rnacentral:rRNA from 1 species